rnacentral:lncRNA from 1 species
CUAUCAAGACUAAUUCAAUGCAGUACUACUAUUGCUUCUCUUUCACUCACCUUGAGCUCUUCUAUAAUCUAUACUCUCUUCUUAUCCUUAUCUAUAAUUCUCUCUAUUAAUCCGGAUAUACUUCUAUGCUUAACAAUCAACAACUUCUUUUUGUUGUAAUCCUCACUUUUUUCUUCUUAGAUUCUCUUACUCAUCUUAUAAAACUAGAUUACAAUUCAAUCUUCCAUGCAAUCUUCGUACAAAUUCUCUAAGCAAAAUACAUAUCUCCAACCAAAUCUCCCACUUGCUCAACUUUCUCGUCUACUGCAAACCACCUCUUUAUGCCACCUUGUGUUAUUGCCCUUAUUAAUUCCACCACG